AAGGAUCAUUAUUGAAUGUAUUUGCAAGUGGGUUGUAGCUGGCUCCAACACGGAGCAUGUGCACGCCUCUUGCCUCUACUACUUUUCCACUUGUGAACCUUUGUAGACUACGAAUGAACUACUCGCCUGCGAAUGGCGGAAAGAGAGGGUUGAUCUUAACUGGUCAUUUCUCUUGCUAGUUCGUAGUCUAUGUCAUAUUUACCCUUGAUCGAAUGUCAAUGAAUGUCUUUUACUGGUCUUUGAACCUUUAAAUUUAAUACAACUUUCAGCAACGGAUCUCUUGGCUCUCGCAUCGAUGAAGAACGCAGCGAAAUGCGAUAAGUAAUGUGAAUUGCAGAAUUCAGUGAAUCAUCGAAUCUUUGAACGCACCUUGCGCUCCUUGGUAUUCCGAGGAGCAUGCCUGUUUGAGUGUCAUUAAAUUCUCAACCUCACCAGUUUUUACGAAUUGGCUGAUGGCUUGGAUGUGGGAGUUGCGGGCUUCUUUGAAGUCGGCUCUUCUUAAAUGCAUUAGUGGAGACUUGCAAUCGUCGCCUUGGUGUGAUAAUUAUCUGCGCCUUGGUGUAUGGUGGCUAAUCAAAUGUCUUUGCUUCUAACAGUCCAUUGACUUGGACAACACUUUAUGACUUUUGACCUCAAAUCAGGUAGGACUACCCGCUGAACUUAAGCAUAUCAAUAAGCGGAGGAAAAGAAACUAACAAGGAUUCCCCUAGUAACUGCGAGUGAAGCGGGAAGAGCUCAAAUUUAAAAUCUGGCAGUCUUCGAUUGUCCGAGUUGUAAUUU
rnacentral:rRNA from 1 species